UACGGGGGGGGCAAGCGUUGUUCGGAAUUACUGGGCGUAAAGGGCUCGUAGGCGGCCAACUAAGUCAGACGUGAAAUCCCCAGGCUCAACUUGGGAACUGCGUCUGAUACUGGAUGGCUUGAAUUCGGGAGAGGGAUGCAGAAUUCCAGGUGUAGCGGUGAAAUGCGUAGAUAUCUGGCGGAAUACCGGUGGCGAAGGCGGCAUCCUGGACCGAGAUUGACACUGAUGAGCGAAAGCUAGGGGAGCAAACGGG
rnacentral:rRNA from 1 species